rnacentral:rRNA from 1 species
AGUGGCGAACGGGUGAGUAACACGUAGGUAACUUACCUCUAAGACGAGGAUAACGACUGGAAACGGUCGCCAAAACUGGAUAGGAUCAUUGGAGGCAUCUCUGGUGAUUUAAAAGGGCUUUACAGCCAUGCUUAGAGAAAGGCCUGCGGCGCAUUAGCUAGUUGGUGGUGUAGAGGACUACCAAGGCGAUGAUGCGUAGCCGGACUGAGAGGUCGAACGGCCACAUUGGGACUGAGACACGGCCCAAACUCCUACGGGAGGCAGCAGUAGGGAAUUUUCGGCAAUGGGGGAAACCCUGACCGAGCAACGCCGCGUGAAUGAAGAAGUAUUUCGGUAUGUAAAGUUCUUUUAUUGAGGAAGAAUGGGUUGGAUAGGAAAUGAUCUGACCGUGACGGUACUCAAUGAAUAAGCCCCGGCUAACUAUGUGCCAGCAGCCGCGGUAAUACAUAGGGGGCAAGCGUUAUCCGGAAUUAUUGGGCGUAAAGGGUGCGUAGGCGGUCUGUUAAGUCUAAGGUGUAAGUGCAAGGCUCAACCUUGUGAUGCUUUAGAAACUGGUGGACUAGAGAUAGAUAGAGGCAAGUGGAAUUCCAUGUGUAGCGGUAAAAUGCGUAAAUAUAUGGAGGAACACCAGUGGCGAAGGCGGCUUGCUGGGUCUAUACUGACGCUGAGGCACGAAAGCGUGGGGAGCAAACAGGAUUAGAUACCCUGGUAGUCCACGCC